rnacentral:rRNA from 1 species
GUGUCAGCCGCCGCGGUAAUACGAAGGGUGCGAGCGUUAUUCGGAAUCACUGGGCGUAAAGGGUGCGUAGAUGGCUUGUUAAGUUCGUUGUUAAAGGCUCUGGCCUAACCGGAGUAUUGCAAUGAAAACUGGCAGACUAGAGGGUGAGAGAGAGAAGUGGAAUUCCCGGAGUAGCGGUAAAAUGCGUGGAUCUCGGGAGGAACACCAAUGGCGAAGGCAGCUUCUUGGCUCAUUCCUGACAUUGAGGCACGAAAGCGUGGGGAGCAAACAGGAUUAGAAACCCUGGUAGUCC